rnacentral:rRNA from 1 species
CCAAUAGCGUAUAUUAAAGUUGUUGCAGUUAAAAAGCUCGUAGUUGAAUUUCGGGAUUGACGUGAUGGUCGUGCCUUAAGGGGUAUGAACUGUUGCUGUUGAUUUCUCACCUUCUGGAGAAACUUGAUGUCCUUAAUUGGGUGUCUUGCGGAUCCAGGACCUUUACCUUGAAAAAAUUAGAGUGUUUAAAGCAGGCAUUUUGCUCGAAUACAUUAGCAUGGAAUAAUAGAAUAGGACGGCAUGGUUCUAUUUUGUUGGUUUCUAGGAUCACCGUAAUGAUUACUAGGGAUAGUUGGGGGCAUUAGUAUUCAAUUGUCAGAGGUGAAAUUCUUGGAUUUAUUGAAGACUAACUACUGCGAAAGCAUUUGCCAAGGAUGUUUUCAUUAAUCAAGAACGAAAGUUAGGGGAUCGAAGACGAUCAGAUACCGUCGUAGUCUUAACCAUAAACUAUGCCGACUAGGAAUCAGACGAUGUUAAUUUUUUAAUGACUCAUUCGGCGCCUUACG